rnacentral:rRNA from 1 species
CCUACGGGAGGCAGCAGUAGGGAAUAUUGGGCAAUGGGCGAGAGCCUGACCCAGCCAUGCCGCGUGCCGGAUGAAGGCCUUCUGGGUUGUAAACGGCUUUUCUCAGGGAAGAAAAAGCCCAUGCGUGGGACACUGACGGUACCUGAGGAAUAAGCACCGGCUAACUCCGUGCCAGCAGCCGCGGUAAUACGGAGGGUGCAAGCGUUGUCCGGAUUUAUUGGGUUUAAAGGGUGCGUAGGCGGCCCGUUAAGUCCGGGGUGAAAGCCCACAGCUCAACUGUGGAACUGCCCUGGAUACUGGCGGGCUUGAGUCCAGACGAGGUUGGCGGAAUGGAUGGUGUAGCGGUGAAAUGCAUAGAUACCAUCCAGAACCCCGAUUGCGUAGGCAGCUGACUAGGCUGGUACUGACGCUGAGGCACGAAAGCGUGGGGAGCGAACAGGAUUAGAUACCCUGGUAGUCCACGCCGUAAACGAUGGAUACUCGCUGGUGGCGAUAGACAGUCACUGGCUUAGCGAAAGCGGUAAGUAUCCCACCUGGGGAGUACGCUCGCAAGAGUGAAACUCAAAUGAAUUGACGG